UCCCUCUCAGGGUCACACCUGGAGAGUUUCCAGUCCUCUACCCGUCUUGACUAUAGGAGGGAAAGUCAAGCAGAGGCUGACCCAUUCCAUUCCUGGCUUGGCCAGUGGCUAGCGAGUGGAAGGCAAUCUGCUACGAGU